rnacentral:tRNA from 1 species
GUUGUAGCUCAGUGGUAGAAUGCUUAUCUAGCAUGCAUGAGGCCCUGGGUUCAAUCCUCAGCACCACA